AGCUUGCUUCUGAUUGAUAACAUUUGAGUGAGUGGCGGACGGGUGAGUAACACGUGGGUAACCUGCCCUAAAGUGGGGGAUAACAUUUGGAAACAGAUGCUAAUACCGCAUAAAACCUAGCACCGCAUGGUGCAAGGUUGAAAGAUGGUUUCGGCUAUCACUUUAGGAUGGACCCGCGGUGCAUUAGUUAGUUGGUGAGGUAAAGGCUCACCAAGACCGUGAUGCAUAGCCGACCUGAGAGGGUAAUCGGCCACACUGGGACUGAGACACGGCCCAGACUCCUACGGGAGGCAGCAGUAGGGAAUCUUCCACAAUGGACGAAAGUCUGAUGGAGCAACGCCGCGUGAGUGAAGAAGGUUUUCGGAUCGUAAAACUCUGUUGUUGGAGAAGAACGUAUUUGAUAGUAACUGAUCAGGUAGUGACGGUAUCCAACCAGAAAGCCACGGCUAACUACGUGCCAGCAGCCGCGGUAAUACGUAGGUGGCAAGCGUUGUCCGGAUUUAUUGGGCGUAAAGCGAGCGCAGGCGGUUUCUUAAGUCUGAUGUGAAAGCCUUCGGCUCAACCGAAGAAGUGCAUCGGAAACUGGGAAACUUGAGUGCAGAAGAGGACAGUGGAACUCCAUGUGUAGCGGUGAAAUGCGUAGAUAUAUGGAAGAACACCAGUGGCGAAGGCGGCUGUCUGGUCUGUAACUGACGCUGAGGCUCGAAAGCAUGGGUAGCAAACAGGAUUAGAUACCCUGGUAGUCCAUGCCGUAAACGAUGAGUGCUAGGUGUUGGAGGGUUUCCGCCCUUCAGUGCCGCAGCUAACGCAUUAAGCACUCCGCCUGGGGAGUACGACCGCAAGGUUGAAACUCAAAGGAAUUGACGGGGGCCCGCACAAGCGGUGGAGCAUGUGGUUUAAUUCGAAGCAACGCGAAGAACCUUACCAGGUCUUGACAUCCUUUGACCACUCUAGAGAUAGAGCUUUCCCUUCGGGGACAAAGUGACAGGUGGUGCAUGGUUGUCGUCAGCUCGUGUCGUGAGAUGUUGGGUUAAGUCCCGCAACGAGCGCAACCCUUAUUACUAGUUGCCAGCAUUUAGUUGGGCACUCUAGUGAGACUGCCGGUGACAAACCGGAGGAAGGUGGGGACGACGUCAAAUCAUCAUGCCCCUUAUGACCUGGGCUACACACGUGCUACAAUGGAUGGUACAACGAGUCGCGAGACCGCGAGGUUUAGCUAAUCUCUUAAAACCAUUCUCAGUUCGGAUUGUAGGCUGCAACUCGCCUACAUGAAGCCGGAAUCGCUAGUAAUCGCGGAUCAGCAUGCCGCGGUGAAUACGUUCCCGGGCCUUGUACACACCGCCCGUCACACCAUGAGAGUUUGUAACACC
rnacentral:rRNA from 2 species